GGAUUUGAUUUAAAUCUUUAAACAUUCCUUUAAAAGCUAACUACAUUUAUUUUCAUUUUUGUUGAAGAGCUUUUUAUUUUUUUAUUUAUUGUUUAGCUUGUCCUAUGCUAAACCUAUUCUAAACCAUGUUCUUUCUUGCUCAAUUCCUUACAGAUGUAAGCCAGGGAACCAUCUACCAUGUGACUUACCCUCCCUAGCCUGUGAAGUCAGUUAAAUCCAAAAGGUUGUUGCCAAUAUGAAGCAGCAGUCCUCCAUUAAUAAUAUUUAGGAAGCUUGAGAAUAAGCACCAGAUACAGUAAGCUGUGGUAACCAUUUUGUUGAGUGGUUGAUGAACCAUCUACUGCUCAAUGUGGCCAAGACCAAGGAGAUGGUGGUUGACUUCAGGAGGAAAUGUGAAUUGUUUGAAGAAGAUCAGGUCCUUUAAUGUUUGCAGCCAUCUGGAUACCUUCUACCAGUCUGUUUGUGGCACAGCAAGAUAUAUUUCUACAUGCUCUCCCCAAUUUGGUCAUCUACCAUUUCCCACCCACUAGCAAGGUCUUCCCUAACAUGAAAGUUACCAGCUGCCUUUAAGAAAAAAACUUUUUUUCUUAAAGGCACAUGAAGCCUACUGCAUCUUUUUCAAAUUCUGCUCAUGCUGAAGGAAGAAACCAGACUCAGAAGGGAACCCAUCCUCAUUUGGCUCAGGUGUCAUUGGGCAUCGUGGCAGGAUACACUAUAGAAGGAGUGCUAACCCAUCGCAAGGCACACAAGGAAACCGGAGUACCAGGAGGAAACCCCCGAGGCACAGGGAGAACAUGCAAACUCCACACACAAGGCGGAGGCGGGAAUCUAACCCCCAAACCCAGAGGCGUGAGGCAAACGUGCUAACCACUAAGCCACCGUGAACUCUUCCAGUGAACAAUAAACUCAAAAUCGUAUCAUUAAUUUAUUUCAUUUGUUUCAGUAACUAUUUUAUUGUGGUCAUUGCUGCAUUAAAUCCAAGUCCAGGAAAACUAGGUUUGAAGUGGGAAUACAUCACCACAUGGAACUAUGUACACUCUCAUUUACACAUGGGUCAUCAAUCCAUGUUCUUACAUGUUUUUGAACAGUGGGAGGAAAACAGUAACCUAGGAUAGUAACCAACACUCAGGAUGCUAGUCCACUGCAGGGACCAUACACAAAGACACACCUGCUCUUUCACACAUAGUGGCAAUUUGAGACUUGCUAACACACUGGCAUUUUGCAGGUGGGAGAAAACCAAAGAACCCAGAA